UACGUAGGGGGCUAGCGUUGUCCGGAUUUAUUGGGCGUAAAGAGCGUGUAGGCGGCCAGGUAGGUCUGCUGUGAAAACUCGAGGCUUAACCUCGAGAUGUCGGCGGAACCGAUCUGGCUAGAGUCCGGAAGAGGAGAGUGGAAUUCCUGGUGUAGCGGUGAAAUGCGCAGAUAUCAGGAAGAACACCCGUGGCGAAGGCGGCUCUCUGGGACGGUACUGACGCUGAGACGCGAAAGCGUGGGGAGCGAACAGG
rnacentral:rRNA from 1 species